AUGUCAGUUUCAGAUACAAACCUUCAUAAUGGAGAAAAGCCCAUCUCCGAAAUUACCGUUGCAGAACUCGUCGAAAAGCAUGGUCAUAUGAAGUUAGUAUGCUCACAGACAAGGUUCGUAAAAACCAUGAAACUGUUGUCACCAGACCACAAAAAGUACAUCAUAUCAGAAACCAGUCUUGGCGGUCUAACCCAGAUGCAUGAAGUGACUCUACGGCGCAUAAUGUUGGUUAGACUAGCCAAGAGCAUAGAUAUGGACACGCAAUCCAUUACCAUUGGUAAAACGCCAAUUCCUAUAACAAAAGAGGACGUGCAGUGUAUAUUUGGCAUUCCGAUAGAAGAGGAGGAUCUAGAGCCACAUCUGGAAAUGCAAACCGACACAGAAUUGUUUACCGCUUAUGCAAACAAUGGGCAAAUUUUGAUUUCUGACCUUGAAACGGCGAUCCGAGCUUCCAAAGCCCCAGACGGCGAUUUCCUGAGACGGUUCAUUCUGUACGCAAUUGGUACUGUUCUAGCACCAACAGCACAACAUUAUGUGGACUCGAAAUUUCUCAACCCUGUUACAGAUCUUGAAAACCUGGAAAUUUAA
rnacentral:rRNA from 1 species